rnacentral:misc_RNA from 1 species
AAAUCCAUUGGACACUGCGAUAUUCAGAGGUCCAUGAAAACAGAUUUGAGUAAGGAGAGAAGGAGAUUUGCGAAUGGGUCCAAAGAAUCUGAGAGAAAGAGAGAAGAAAGGAGGGCGGUUUCGGAAAUCAAAGGAUCCGAACCCGAAAGAAGACGAUCUAUCGGAUAGUGUAAAUUCAAACAGAGAUAGGUAUUUGGAUUUUGAAGGCUUGAACCUCAAAGGCGUUUUAAAACAGCGGCUUUCAAAUCCAUUUGCAGGUCACUGUCUGCUUCUACAUAGCAAGAG